GACGAACGCUGGCGGCGUGCUUAACACAUGCAAGUCGAACGGAGUGGCGAACGGGUGAGUAACACGUGGGUGACCUGCCCUGCACUUCGGGAUAAGCCUGGGAAACUGGGUCUAAUACCGGAUAGUGUGGGAGGGGCCCGCGGCCUAUCAGCUUGUUGGUGGGGUAAUGGCCUACCACGGCGGCGACGGGUAGCCGGCCUGAGAGGGUGGACGGCCCCAUUGGGACUGGGACACGGCCCAGACGCCUACGGGAGGAAGGAGGGGGGAAUAGUGCACAAUGGGCGGAAGCCUGGUGCAGCGACGCCGCGUGGGGGAUGACGGCCUUCGGGUUGUAAACUGCUUUCACCAUCGACGCGGUAGAUGGAGAAGAAGCACCGGCUAACUACGUGCCAGCAGCCGCGUAAUUC
rnacentral:rRNA from 1 species